CUGGCUAUGUAAUCUCCUCAUUGGGAGGUGUCAGUAGAGCCCGAAUCUCUCAUGCUCCUUUGUCUCCUUUGCGUCUCACAGGAGCUUAUUGAGGAGCUUCCUAAAGACUCUCCACCCAGCGCCAUCCUCGCCAACUCCUUGGUUGCAGGGAGCAACCUCAGGCUCUGCACAAAGUCAUGCCAGAGCUCCUGGAUGCCAUGCUCGGGAACCUGCUGGCAGAGUCCCUAGAUGCAGACAGGCUCCACUACAUCUUGGAGCAUGUCAACCUCUGGAUUGUGUCCAGGGUGUCCCAGGAGAGAGCCAGGGCCAUUAGGAGCAGCACGGCCCUGCUCAUACAUG